AGUGAACGCUGGCGGUAGGCCUAACACAUGCAAGUCGAACGGCAGCACAGUAAGAGCUUGCUCUUACGGGUGGCGAGUGGCGGACGGGUGAGGAAUACAUCGGAAUCUACUUUUUCGUGGGGGAUAACGUAGGGAAACUUACGCUAAUACCGCAUACGACCUACGGGUGAAAGCAGGGGAUCUUCGGGCCUUGCGCGAUUGAAUGAGCCGAUGUCGGAUUAGCUAGUUGGCGGGGUAAAGGCCCACCAAGGCGACGAUCCGUAGCUGGUCUGAGAGAAUGAUCAGCCACACUGGAACUGAGACACGGUCCAGACUCCUACGGGAGGCAGCAGUGGGGAAUAUUGGACAAUGGGCGCAAGCCUGAUCCAGCCAUACCGCGUGGGUGAAGAAGGCCUUCGGGUUGUAAAGCCCUUUUGUUGGGAAAGAAAAGCAGCAGGUUAAUACCCCGCUGUUCUGACGGUACCCAAAGAAUAAGCACCGGCUAACUUCGUG
rnacentral:rRNA from 1 species